CAAAGAGAAAAUGCUUAAAAUAUUUUUUUCACUUCCAUUUACAGAUGAGCACAUGCAGGAACAGGGCUCAGCUGUGCACACAUUUCUGGGGAGUGACUUCAACACUGUGGGACAAGCCAUCACCUUUGGAUGGAAGUGCAGAGAACAAGAGAAGAGUGGCUUGCCCACAUUUAGCCCGCUGCCAGUGCCCUCACUGUGGGUGAACUUGGGGUGGGCAGUGUUGAACAGCAGUGGAGUGUGCUUUCACCUUCCAUGACCUCCUGUCUCCACCUUCUUAUUAAAAAUGUAUUUUGCAUAGCAAUUUCAAAAUUAUAUUUUUAACUUCCAAGAGUUCUGUCUUGGGCACUGAUUUCUUCUUUUUUAAAAACCAUUCUGUUCUUGUUUUCAGGGGCCACCCCUCUUCUCCAGAGC
rnacentral:lncRNA from 1 species